rnacentral:rRNA from 1 species
GGGNNNGGCGGCNNGCUACCAUGCAGUCGAACGAGAACGGGUUAUAGCUUGCUAUAAUUGUCAGCUAAGUGGCGCACGGGUGAGUAAUGUAUAGGUAAUAUGCCUCUUACUAAGGGAUAACAAAUGGAAACGUUUGCUAAUACCUUAUACUCCUUAUUAACUAAAGUUGGUAAGGGAAAGAUUUAUUGGUAAGAGAUUGGCCUGUAUUGUAUCAGUUAGUUGGUGGGGUAAUGGCCUACCAAGACUAUGACGCAUAACUGGUUUGAGAGGAUGAUCAGUCACACUGGAACUGAGACACGGUCCAGACUCCUACGGGAGGCAGCAGUGGGGAAUAUUGCACAAUGGACGAAAGUCUGAUGCAGCAACGCCGCGUGGAGGAUGACACAUUUCGGUGCGUAAACUCCUUUUAUAUAAGAAGAUAAUGACGGUAUUAUAUGAAUAAGCACCGGCUAACUCCGUGCCAGCAGCCGCGGUAAUACGGGGGGUGCAAGCGUUACUCGGAAUCACUGGGCGUAAAGAGCAUGUAGGCGGAUUGAUAAGUUUGAAGUGAAAUCCUAUAGCUUAACUAUAGAACUGCUUUGAAAACUGUUAAUCUAGAAUGUGGGAGAGGUAGAUGGAAUUUCUGGUGUAGGGGUAAAAUCCGUAGAGAUCAGAAGGAAUACCGAUUGCGAAGGCGAUCUACUGGAACAUUAUUGACGCUGAGAUGCGAAAGCGUGGGGAGCAAACAGGAUUAGAUACCCUGGUAGUCCACGCCCUAAACGAUGUACACUAGUUGUUGUGAGGCUAGACCUUGCAGUAAUGCAGUUAACACAUUAAGUGUACCGCCUGGGGAGUACGGUCGCAAGAUUAAAACUCAAAGGAAUAGACGGGGACCCGCACAAGCGGUGGAGCAUGUGGUUUAAUUCGACGAUACACGAAGAACCUUACCUGGACUUGACAUAGUAAGAACU